rnacentral:lncRNA from 1 species
UUUUUCUUUUUUCUUUUUUUUUUUUGGCUUCACCUGCAGCAUGGGCCAGGGAGCAAACCUAUGUCCACAGCAGCAACCGAAGCUGCAGCGGUGACAAUGCCAGAUCCUUAACCCACUGAGCCAGAGGAACUCCCGAAAUUUUAAUUCUUAGCUCUUUUGUUCUUCCUAACAAAACAUCAUCAUCAUCAUCACUGAAAACACGUAACACCUUUUAUGUGCCAGAUAGUAGUCUAAGUACUUUGUAUAUAUGGGCUCCUUUUAUCUUCAAAAUAAAUGCAUGAGAUAUUAACUAUUUCCAUCCUCACUUUUGAUAGGAAAACCAAAGGAUAGGUCAGCAGUUUUCCCAAGCUGAAGAGUGGAGGGAGAACUCAAACCGAGGUGUUUGGGCUCUAGGAUCUCUGCCCUUAAUACUAUGCUUUACUGCCUCCUGUGACAUCACAAUAAUGAACAAAUUUAAAUAAUGUGUUUGAAACCCUAAUUGGCCCCUAAAAUGUAGGUAAAAUAUCUUUCUUUUUAGUGUUGGUGUUAACUCAUUCCUAUUAUAAAGAAGGGCAUAUAAAGCAUUCAUACAAGACUCUUUAAAAAGAAUAACAAAGUUAGCAUCUACCCCUCAUGUUGAUGGAUAGAUCACUAGUGCCUUGGAAAAGUCCUGUGUUCACCCUUCCACCUCUGAUCUCACCCCUCCCUUCCCUGCUAGUCUAAUGUAUGUGAUAAUAAUUUCUUUACUUUUCUUUAUAGGUUUAUCAUCUAAGCAUGUAUUCCUAAAAUACACAUUUAGUUUCCCAGGUUUUGAACUUUGUUUAAAUAGAAUUUUCCUACAUGCAUCUGGGUCUCAUUUGCUUUCCUGCUAAACCUUCUAUUGAUACAAUUAUGUUGAUUUGUUUCAAGAUUUUCUUUUUGACGUUUCUGUUGCUGAGGUGAUUGGAGAAUAUGCCUGCCUUCUUCCCAUUGGGUGGAAACAUCUGCAUGAGCUAUGAUGCUCAUCCAUGUCCCUCUUUCAGAAAAGGCAAACUGACCAUAUUGAAGGUAGUUAUUUAUUUUACCAAAGGAUGUCCCAUAGCAGCCCUUUAAAAUAUGAUUGGAUUAAAAGGUAAAAUUUAGAUCAUGUUUUGGAAAGUCCUAUCAAUAGAGUUAUACCCGAAUUCUUCACGUGGAUAACCAAAGUAAGGAUAUCUGAGGGAUGGAGAAAAGAACAGAGUGUGUAACUACACUGAGGGUUUGGGAAGAUAGGCUGGAAACUUCAAGUCCAGACAAUACAGGGUGAUAAGAACACUAACAACAUUUCUUGCCCAGGGAUAUGUGUUAUUCUUCCUCAAAGAAGGAAAUACUCUCUACUUUUUGGCAAUAAGAUUGGAUAUGUGAGUAGCCUGCAGAGCAUACCUGUAUUUCAUCUUAGAUAUAAUAUCUAAUUCCCUUUAUGUUUAAUGAAGAAAUCUGAUUUCACUCCAUUUCCUCUACCUCUCCACACUUUUCUUCAAACCUCCAUUCCACAGUGCUAUUGUUUUUUGUUUGUUUUACAUUUGUUCUGUAACUAUAAUUACUUUGGAAGCAUUGUGUAUAAAUUCAUUUUUUAAGUUGAAAACUAAAGCAAAGUUGUCCCAUUUUUGUAUGAUGAUAUUGUUCACUGCAGAAUUGAGGAGCAUUGUUAAGCCUAUAGAGGAGAAGUGUAACUCUUAUUAAAUCAUUACGGAGUUCUCGUCAUGGCUCAAUGGUUAAUGAACCCGACUAAGAUCCAUGAGGAUGCGAGUUUGAUCCUUGGCCUCACUCAGGGGGUUAAGGAUCCUGCGUUGCUGUGAGCUGUGGUGUAGGUCGCAGACCCAGCUCAGAUCCUGCAUUGCUGUGGCUGUGGUGUAUGUAGGCAGGCAGCUAUGGCUCCGAUUCAACCCCUGGCCCAGGCACCUCCAUAUGCUACAGGAGCAGCCCUAAAAAAAAAAAAAGAAAAAAGGAAAGAAAGAAAAAACUUUAAAAAAUAAAUCUUUGCUAUUAGAAGUAGAAAAUAAAUCUAAAGUUUGGAGAGGGUUAAGAUGGCACAAUAUCAUAAUGACCUAAUAUGCCUUUGCCUUGUCACAAGAUCACCCAAUUUCUUUAACACUGUUCAGUAGAAGAAAUCCGUGUUCUACCAAAAGAAUCUUCACAGGGCCUCUGACUUCUGGUUCUAAUUUGGACUGAAGGGUUUCUAGGCCUGCUUCAAAGUUCUCAUUCUGGAAUUACUUUUCACUACAAUCCUGGGUUAGAGCCACUGCUCCUUAGAGCCUAGGACUUCCUCUCACUUGGAUUCUCUUUGUUUUGCUUGAGUAAUUCCUUCAGAACUAGUCUGGGUGGUAAAGGGUCUGUGCUCUUCAUUGAGAGUUUGGCUAGGUGGAGAAUUUUAGGUUCAAAAACUUUUCCUUCAGCAUUUUGCAGACAUGCUUUUUGUCUUCUUCUUUGUUUUUUCUCUAUUGUCUCAUUUCUUUUUGAGUGACCUCUUCUUAUAGCUUGUAGAAUUUCCCCUCUAUUCCCAGGGUCUAAAAUAUCACAAGGAUAUGUCUUGGGGCGCAUUUGUUCAUUCAUCUUCUUCUGCACUCUCUAGGCCCUGACAGCCUAAAAUGCUAUUUCUUCUCUUUUAGAAAUUCUCUUUUGUUCUCCUCUGUUUUGUGUGUUUUCUCAUUCUAAACAUCCAUUUGGAUGUUAGAACUUUUGGACGGUUCUCGAAUCUCUUCGUUUUUCUCCCACAUUUCCGUCCCUUUAACCUUUUGUUCUAUGCUCAGAGAUAUUUCCUUCAUUCUUUCUCUCAUUGAACUUUUCACAUUGACAAUUAAUUUUGUCAUUUUAAGAAGACUUUCUGGGUUGGAUGGUUCUUUUCCUUAGCAGCCUGCAGACUGUUUUUGCUUUACGCUUUUUUUUUUUUUUUUAAUUUUCUUCUUCAAGGAAACAAAAUAGAAUUACUUUAAAGAUAGAUAUCUUCUAUUUCCUAGAUUAUCUAUUUCCUCCAGGGUCAGUUUAUUUCCACCUGCCUUUCUCAGAUUUUUAUGACAUUGGCUGUCAAUUCACAGUGAAAACCCAAGGCAGACCAGUUUCUUUAAUACAGAUAUCUAGCUCUCCUUGGCUCUGUUGGUCUGGCCUUCUAUCCAGGUGGGUGGGCCUUUUGGCUGGCAGACUUUGCUUUGACUUUGAGGGGAAAGAGGGAAAGUAGGAUGCCCCUCCCUGCCUCUCCCACCUUGCAGCCAGAGUGAGGAGAAUCCCACUGAGCGAGGGCAGCACCCCUCCUAGGGCUGCAUCCCAUGCAGAUGCUUGCAAUUGCUUUAAAGAUUAAUCCUCUGGUUUCAGCCUAAGCAUGUGACACAGGGAAGGGGAAUGUGGGCUAUGACUCACAGUUAUUCCGCAGUUGAUUUCUGUCCAACUUUCCUCUCCUACUCCAAGUUUUGAGCCUCUCUGUGAG